rnacentral:rRNA from 1 species
GACGAACGCUGGCGGCGUGCUUAACACAUGCAAGUCGAGCGGAAAGGCUCCUUCGGGGGUACUCGAGCGGCGAACGGGUGAGUAACACGUGAGUAAUCUGCCCUUCACUUUGGGAUAACUGCCUGAAAGGGUGGCUAAUACCGGGUAUUCUCCUUGCACCGCAUGGUGUGGGGUGGGAAGUUUUUUCGGUGGGGGAUGUGCUCGCGGCCUAUCAGCUUGUUGGUGGGGUAAUGGCCUACCAAGGCUUUGACGGGUAGCCGGCCUGAGAGGGUGACCGGCCACACUGGGACUGAGACACGGCCCAGACUCCUACGGGAGGCAGCAGUGGGGAAUAUUGGACAAUGGGCGGAAGCCUGAUCCAGCAACGCCGCGUGAGGGAUGACGGCCUUCGGGUUGUAAACCUCUUUCAGCACAGACGAAGCGCCUGUGAAGGU